UACGGAGGGUGCAAGCGUUAUCCGGAUUCACUGGGUUUAAAGGGUGCGUAGGAGGGCAGGUAAGUCAGUGGUGAAAUCUUCGAGCUUAACUCGGAAACUGCCGUUGAUACUAUCUGUCUUGAAUAUUGUGGAGGUAAGCGGAAUAUGUCAUGUAGCGGUGAAAUGCUUAGAUAUGACAUAGAACACCGAUUGCGAAGGCAGCUUGCUACACAUAUAUUGACUCUGAGGCACGAAAGCGUGGGGAUCAAACAGG
rnacentral:rRNA from 1 species